GCCAGACUCCUACGGGAGGCAGCAGUGGGGGAUAUUGCACAAUGGGGGGAACCCUGAUGCAGCGACGCCGCGUGGGUGAAGAAGCGCCUCGGCGCGUAAAGCCCUGUCAGCAGGGAAGAAAAUGACGGUACCUGAAGAAGAAGCCCCGGCUAACUACGUGCCAGCAGCCGCGGUAAUACGUAGGGGGCAAGCGUUAUCCGGAUUUACUGGGUGUAAAGGGAGCGUAGACGGCAAGGCAAGUCUGGAGUGAAAGCCCGUGGCCCAACCACGGGACUGCUUUGGAAACUGUGUGGCUGGAGUGCAGGAGGGGUAAGCGGAAUUCCUAGUGUAGCGGUGAAAUGCGUAGAUAUUAGGAGGAACACCGGUGGCGAAGGCGGCUUACUGGACUGUAACUGACGUUGAGGCUCGAAGGCGUGGGGAGCAAACAGGAUUAGAUACCCUCGUAC
rnacentral:rRNA from 1 species